UGUUGAUUCAAAAUGUUUUUUUUUGAUAAAAAUGACUUUGCAGAUUUCAUUGUUGCUAAAAGCCACUUUGUGUUUAACCGAGGUGUGUAGCCUCGCUUCGGCUAGGCGUGCGCCCUUUGACUACUAUGACUAGAGUUGUUUGAAUGGAUGGAAAAACUUUUAUAUCUAUGAUGGCUCUUCAAAAGGGCAAGCCCCUGGGGAAGACAGUGAAGUCAUUUUAUACCCUCAAGCCAUCUUUAAUGAUCCAUUCAGAAGGGGCAACAAUAUUCUGGUGAUGUGUGAUGCUUACACACCAGCGAGUGAGCCGAUCCCGAAUAACAAGAGGGACAACGGUUUCAGCUAGGAACAAUCAGGCAUUAGGUUUACCUGUGGUUUCUUCAGUCAGUGUGGCAAAAAAGACGCUCAUUAGCAUCCUUGGUUUUAAUUUGGGUACUUCAGGUGCUUCUAUUCGCCUGAGUAAAUUGGUGUCAAUGAAUGGGGCUUCGGGUGCUUUUAUUGGCCUCA